rnacentral:rRNA from 1 species
UACGGGAGGCAGCAGUGGGGAAUAUUGCACAAUGGGCGAAAGCCUGAUGCAGCUAUGCCGCGUGUAUGAAGAAGGCCUUAGGGUUGUAAAGUACUUUCAGCAGGGAGGAAAGAAAUAAAACUAAUAAUUUUAUUUUGUGACGUUACCUGAAGAAGAAGCACCGGCUAACUCCGUGCCAGCAGCCGCGGUAAUACGGAGGGUGCAAGCGUUAAUCAGAAUUACUGGGCGUAAAGAGCGCGUAGGUGGUUUUUUUAAGUCAGAUGUGAAAUCCCUAGGCUUAACCUAGGAACUGCAUUUUGAAACUGAAAAACUAGAGUAUCGUAGAGGGAGGUAGAAUUCUAGGUGUAGCGGUGAAAUGCGUAGAUAUCUGGAGACUCUGUGCGAAGCGCUCUAAACGAUACUGACACUGAGGUCGCGAAAGCGGUGGGAGACAAACGAGGUAUUAGACUA